rnacentral:rRNA from 1 species
GUAACAAGGUCUCCGUUGGUGAACCAGCGGAGGGAUCAUUACUGAGUUUACGCUCUAUAACCCUUUGUGAACAUACCUAUAACUGUUGCUUCGGCGGGUAGGGUCUCCGUGACCCUCCCGGCCUCCCGCCCCCGGGCGGGUCGGCGCCCGCCGGAGGAUAACCAAACUCUGAUUUAACGACGUUUCUUCUGAGUGGUACAAGCAAAUAAUCAAAACUUUUAACAACGGAUCUCUUGGUUCUGGCAUCGAUGAAGAACGCAGCGAAAUGCGAUAAGUAAUGUGAAUUGCAGAAUUCAGUGAAUCAUCGAAUCUUUGAACGCACAUUGCGCCCGCCAGCAUUCUGGCGGGCAUGCCUGUUCGAGCGUCAUUUCAACCCUCAAGCUCUGCUUGGUGUUGGGGCCCUACAGCUGAUGUAGGCCCUCAAAGGUAGUGGCGGACCCUCCCGGAGCCUCCUUUGCGUAGUAACUUUACGUCUCGCACUGGGAUCCGGAGGGACUCUUGCCGUAAAACCCCCAAUUUUCCAAAGGUUGACCUCGGAUCAGGUAGGAAUACCCGCUGAACUUAAGCAUAUCA